rnacentral:rRNA from 1 species
UUUAUUUANGUUUUUUUACUUAAUUAAAAAAUUAANUUUUUAANAAUUAGAAAGUUUAAAUUUCAUUAAUUCUUUCAUUCUAGCUUUCAAUUAAAAAACAAUUGAUUAUGCUACCUUUGUACAGUCAAAUUACUGCAGCUAUUUAAUAAAUAAUCAUUGAGCAGAAAAUAUUUUAAAUUAAAAUUUCUUAAA